AGUGAACGCUGGCGGUAGGCCUAACACAUGCAAGUCGAACGGCAGCACAGUAAGAGCUUGCUCUUACGGGUGGCGAGUGGCGAACGGGUGAGGAAUACAUCGGAAUCUACUUUUUCGUGGGGGAUAACGUAGGGAAACUUACGCUAAUACCGCAUACGACCUACGGGUGAAAGCAGGGGAUCUUCGCACCUUGCGCGAUUGAAUUAGCCGAUGUCGGAUUAGCUAGUUGGCGGGGUAAAGGCCCACCAAGGCGACGAUCCGUAGCUGGUCUGAGAGGAUGAUCAGCCACACUGGAACUGAGACACGGUCCAGACUCCUACGGGAGGCAGCAGUGGGGAAUAUUGGACAAUGGGCGCAAGCCUGAUCCAGCUAUACCGCGUGGGUGAAGAAGGCCUUCGGGUUGUAAAGCCCUUUUGUUGGGAAAGAAAAGCAGCAGGUUAAUACCCCGCUGUUCUGACGGUACCCAAAGAAUAAGCACCGGCUAACUUCGUG
rnacentral:rRNA from 1 species